GGCAUGUGCAUGUAGAGGAGGUAAGGUUGGAAGACUUGAGAAGUAUUCUGGGUCAUCCUUCAUCUCUACAAAAUAAUAUAUCAUUGAAGAAACCAUAAAUGUGCAAACAGAGUUUAGUUGGUGUCGUCGUCUGAAAUCACAACACCCUUCCAGCAAACAAAGCAACUUCAUUUGCAAGAACCUAGUUUCAGGAGAGUGUCUUCUGUGAACUGUCACCGGAGUCAAAUCCCGCCUGUGAGCAACACGGCACACCCCCUCACCAGGCUGCUAGAGUCUUUGAAAGUCUAUUGGCAGAGUCCAUCUUGGAAGGUGAGGGCAACUUGCAUUUCAAAAGCUUGCAACUACAACACUUGAAAAACUAAUGCCGAGGAUAGAAGGGAAGGGAAAGCUUGAUCAGGCAAGGUGGAGGCUAGUGUAUGCACCACAUAUACCUAGCUUGCUUUUUGUUGAUCCUACUGUGGAUCCUCUCAAAUCUCUGGCCAGUAAUAUUUCAUUUGGUACAGAAGUUGAAGUCCAACUUGGGAAACGUCUUACAGGUAUUUUUCAAGCAAACUCCUUAAUCUACUUUCUAUAUUGUUGCAACUCACAUUUGAUUCGACUUGAUUCUUAUUCUAGUUUUGCUAUUUGUUAUUAUUUAGAAUAUUAUGUCGCUUUAGCAAGGGAGUUAAGAUGAUUAAUUAAUUAACCUUUCAGAGAGUUACUUGUAUAAUAUCUUUCAUUGUCUUAUGUGAAUUGAGUUCAGUAGCAGUUUACCUUGUAAUCCUAUAGUGUGGGUAGAGAGAAUGUUGAAUAGAUGAAUACUAACUACUUUUUUUUUUUUCUGUCUUUAAAUGAUGUUGAACAUAGACACUUGAGAUAUUGUUACUUUUUACCUUUGAAUGUUGUUAUGAUCCUAUAGGAGAUAUUUGUCUCCUCCCGGCCUCACUUGUUCGACAAAUGAAGGACUCGGAAAUGGCAAUGCAAUGAACAUUAAUCUACCAGCUUACCAGCCGCCUGCACGUUCAAAAUGCCUCAUUUUUGAAUAUUCUGACGUGGGAUUAAUCUGCUAGCCAUUAUACUUUUAGUUGUGAAUUGUAGCUUUUAAAUUUCCUCAACUGUCAAUUGUACAUAUGACACUAUUUGCUCAAAAUUGAAUUAGGCAACUUUGUAAGUUCACAAUGUUACUUUGUACAUAGUUCAAUAAAUCAUCAAUGAAAGGAGAUUACCAGUUCUAA